rnacentral:lncRNA from 1 species
UGGGAUCUGGGUGGGCAAAGGAAAUCCCACACCAUGGGACAAGGCAGGGAGUGGGGACCAGGUCCCAGAUAUAAAAGUGACAUGCUGGUGGCUUAGGGAGUAUGUGGGGAGCAGAGAGAUGCAGAAAGGACCAGCUCAGAGAGCCAGCUGUAGACCAUGCCAAGAGGCCUACACCCCUAUCUGCACUGCCCUGCAGCUUGUGGCUGCCAUAGACCCAGCUUCCCAUGUCCACUGUCCCUCAUGCUAAGUCUGAUGGUUGAGUUUUCAGUCACUCUGUUCUGGGGAGGCCUAAUUCACCUGAGUCCAUGGAGGGUUUUUAAUUUGUUUCUGCAAGAGCAAAUUCACAGAUGGUAGCCCUGUAAACUUGUAGAUGUGAAUAUAGUUAUUUCAGGUUAGCAAAGGAAAGCCACAAUGUCCAAAAAUCACGACAGACAAAGUCAAUGGCUCCUGCUCACAUUUGGAGACACUAUAGAAAAUCCUCUCCCCAUCUCCUAUGUGUCUUUGUUUGCUUGCUUUUUUACUUGUCACCGUCAUUAAAGGAAACCUUGGAGAAAAGAACAGAUAUUGAGUAUGUGAGCUGCCCUCCUUGGAGACAGUGAUUGUGAAUGGGUGCCACAAUUCCACAAACAUGACAUGACAUGAAUGGGGGCUCAGGAAGAUUUGAUUGAAGGACAUUUGUUGGCAGUGGUUUGCAUAGUUCCUGUCCUGGGAGAUCUUACAGUGUGAGCUCUGUUUCAGACAUUCAGUAUGUCUUUGAAAGGUCCCUGCCUAUCUUCAGCAUAUGCACAUGACUGUCUUAACACUUGUAAUAUGUGAAGUACUUUUUAUUAGGUGUAUCUACUAGGUAUGGUACCAAGUACUUAGUGCUCAUUAAGAGUGGAUUGAAGCCAAAACAUAGUGGCACACGACUUUAAUCCCAGUCCCUGGGAGGCAGAGGUAGGCAGAUCUCUGAGUUCAAGACCAGCCUGGUCUACAGAGUGAGUUCCAGAACAGCACCAAAAGUAAACAAACAAAGUGGAUUAAGGAGCUGGAGAGAUGGCGCAGUAGUUUAGAGCACUGGCUGUUCUUCCAGAGGGUUGUUCUUCCAGAGGACCUAGGUUCAAGUCCCAGCAUAGAUAUGGAAGCUCACAACUGUAACUCCAGUCCUAGUAGAUCUGAUGCCCUCUUCUGGCCCCUAUCAGCAUUGUUUGACCAUUGUGCACAGACAUACAUGCAGACAAAACACUCAUGCACAUAAAAAUAAGAAAGAAAGG